GCCCCCGCCAGCGCCCGCGGCAGGAGCAGAGGAGCCGCGGCAGGCGCUGCCCUGCCUGCGCCGGGAGUGAACGGCUGCGCGGCUGCUGGGAGGGUGAAUGAAGCCAGGAGGAGGGGAAGGAGGCGGCGGCGGCGGCGCUGCGGGGAUUGGGAUGCGCCCUGGAGCCCCGCUGCUCGUUCACUCUGGGCCGUGCUGGAGACUCUGCCACUCCCGCGGCCGCCGCCGCCACCGCCGCCUCUUCCUACGUGGUUCCAGCGCUGCGCGCAGGCCGGUCCCGCAGGGGGCAGGGAAGGGGGCCGGACAGGCGGAGCGAGAGGUCUUUACCUCACAAAAACUACUACAAGCACCAAGCUUCCUGAUGGAAAGGAGCAUCGUGCAGCAAGUCAUCAGGGUGGUCCCUUCAAGCUGCAGAUUUGUGUGUCAUCCUUGUACCACAGUCUCCUCCUCUACGGCCACUACAGGGAAGUCCAUCACAUAUCAGGAUACUGGAGCAAAAUGA
rnacentral:lncRNA from 1 species